rnacentral:rRNA from 1 species
AUUGAACGCUGGCGGCAGGCCUAACACAUGCAAGUCGAGCGGAUGAAGGGAGCUUGCUCCUGGAUUCAGCGGCGGACGGGUGAGUAAUGCCUAGGAAUCUGCCUGGUAGUGGGGGAUAACGUCCGGAAACGGGCGCUAAUACCGCAUACGUCCUGAGGGAGAAAGUGGGGGAUCUUCGGACCUCACGCUAUCAGAUGAGCCUAGGUCGGAUUAGCUAGUUGGUGGGGUAAAGGCCUACCAAGGCGACGAUCCGUAACUGGUCUGAGAGGAUGAUCAGUCACACUGGAACUGAGACACGGUCCAGACUCCGACGGGAGGCAGCAGUGGGGAAUAUUGGACAAUGGGCGAAAGCCUGAUCCAGCCAUGCCGCGUGUGUGCAGAAGGUCUUCGGAUUGUAAAGCACUUUAAGUUGGGAGGAAGGGCAGUAAGUUAAUACCUUGCUGUUUUGACGUUACCAACAGAAUAAGCACCGGCUAACUUCGUG